UUACUUGGACUUGAAACUUGAUGAUCCCAAAGCUUAAAAGUGGAAGAUAUCUUCUGCAAUGAUUUUUCCGCUGAGCGGAACCCAGUUAUUUGUUUAUUUGGAGAAUCAUUUCUUACAUUCUCCUUGCAUUUUCUUGCACUCCCUUCAAGGGAAUAACUUGAAACUUUUUCUUCAGCAUCCCAUUCCCAUUCUCUUGCUUCUUCAAAUUUACUUGUGUUGGGAAUAGAGUCAUUUGAAUGAUUCAGCAAAUGCUGGCUACUACACUGAUUUUCUGAUCCGAAGCUACCCGUCUGGAUUUUGGAUACAUCAUUUUCAGGAGAGUAUAUAUCACUUGGCUUUGGGGACAUGCAAAAGAGUUCCUUGAGAUCUUUAAUAUUUAUAGACUUAGCUACUUGUCUGAACAAUUCAGCUUUUCUCAACUCCCCCACAUCCAAGUUCUUUUUUCCACAAGUUUCCUCGAUAAACGCUUGAUUUCCUUCUGAGAGGACGGUUGCUCGACAUCAAGCUAUUGUGCAUGCACCAGUUCAGCUUGAAUAUUGGAAGAAGUAACAGAUGCAGCACUAGAAAUCGUAUGUUCUUUAAGAAGUUUCAUGCCGCCCCAGCUGUUCACCUGAUUAGUUAUUCUGGAGCUCAUAGGGUCCCAUUUUUGUCGCCCCCUCCAUUGUACGCUUGGAAUAAAGCAAGGACUAUGAGUAAAGAAAGAAUUUUGUAUUUUUGAA